GGGGUGUUCAUGUUAAAUUGUUAAUUAUAAAGAAAGCUUCUUUUUUCAAAUUUUGGUGAAUGUGGAAUUUUGUUAUAAAAUGGGAUUGCAGCAUUAUUGAAGAUCAUCUGAACAGGCACAAGCGAGGUCCCAGAGGGAUGCUGAGUGGCUAAUAUUGGACUUCUAUUUAAGAAGGGAACAAGGGAAAAUUCUGGUAACUAUAAACUGAGGUAACAAAUCCAGUUGAGUCUGGAGCUGAUUACAAGAUGGAAGGCGCCAUCAGAAUAACAGCCUUCAAAAUCUAAUCGUUUUAUUGCAAAGAAUUUGAAAUGUGCAGGAACAUAAGAAGCUACAGUGAGCAGUGGCUUCUGCCCAAUACAUUCUGGGAAAAUUCCUCCCCACAAUCGGUAGUGCCUACAGGUGGCAAUGUCUCAAGAAGGCAGCAUCUAUCAUCAAAGAGCUCCACUAUCUGGGCCAUGGCAUCUGCUUGCAGCUACAGAAACUUGAAGUCUCACACCACCUGUGUCAAGAAAAGCUGCUUCCCUUCAACCAUCCAGUUCUUGAACAAACUGGCAAAACCCAAAUUACUACAGUUCGGCAACAAUAUGACCACAUUCAAACUUCAAAGUAAACUUAUUAUCUCAGUACAUAUACUGUAUGUUAUUGUAUACUACCUCAAGUUUCAGUUGCUUGCAGCCAUUUACAGGGAAAAAUGAAUUUACAAAAAAAUCUAUACAUAAACUUGUUAAAGACUGACAAACAACUCAUGUGUAA